rnacentral:lncRNA from 1 species
UAAUAAAAGCGUAAUGUUUACUUUUAUAUCAUAUUUUAUGUAUAUGAUUUUAUUGACAGAUCACGAAAUAGGCCGAUUCAAACGUACGCACAAAACCACAGUCUACACAAUUGAGUUCGGUACAAAACACCACCCCCUCAAUAAAUAAUCAUAUUAUCUUAUCACGCUUAGCAAACCAAUCCAAAUAUAAUGUAGAAACAAUAAUUGAAGUUGAAUUUAAUAAGUCGAUGACAAAAAAAAAAGAAAUAAAAAAAUAAAACGUGAAUUUCAUCUAAAGAAAAAAAAAGGGCUAGAGGUGCCUUACUCUUCAUAUAAGUGUGAAGUAGCACACGUUACAACCUUUCAGAAAAGCAAUCACCAAAACCCAUAAAGCCAAAAGCAAUGUUUAUUUUACUCCCUCCGUCCCGCGAAGCGUGACCCACUUUCUUUUUU